GAAACAUGUAAGUCAUAGCUCUUUGUUUUCUUGAUUCAACAUUCUUGAUGUAACUUAUUUAUAGUGGUAAAAUUGAGGUGAUACCAGAGGUGCCCUUGGGGCCAGAGAAAAAUUUAGAAACAAAUGACUCCAAUAAAAAAGAGACAGCGAGUCAAGACAGAGGUAAAGUAGCCUUAGGACCUGUGUUAUCAUGAUGUUAUGAGCCCUGCUUCCUCCUGUGGUUCAGCUGGAUCUCAGUCCUACAGCAUCAGGUCAAGGAGGCAGGAGAAUGCCUCACGUUUCCCUGAACAGUCUGACCUCUCUCCUGCCUCCAUGUCUCUCUU
rnacentral:lncRNA from 1 species